rnacentral:rRNA from 1 species
AUUGAACGCUGGCGGCAGGCCUAACACAUGCAAGUCGAGCGGAUGAAGGGAGCUUGCUCCUGGAUUCAGCGGCGGACGGGUGAGUAAUGCCUAGGAAUCUGCCUGGUAGUGGGGGAUAACGUCCGGAAACGGGCGCUAAUACCUCAUACGUCCUGAGGGAGAAAGUGGGGGAUCUUCGGACCUCACGCUAUCAGAUGAGCCUAGGUCGGAUUAGCUAGUUGGUGGGGUAAAGGCCUACCAAGGCGACGAUCCGUAACUGGUCUGAGAGGAUGAUCAGUCACACUGGAACUGAGACACGGUCCAGACUCCUACGGGAGGCAGCAGUGGGGAAUAUUGGACAAUGGGCGAAAGACUGAUCCAGCCAUGCCGCGUGUGUGAAGAAGGUCUUCGGAUUGUAAAGCACUUUAAGUUGGGAGGAAGGGCAGUAAGUUAAUACCUUGCUGUUUUGACGUUACCAACAGAAUAAGCACCGGCUAACUUCGUG